GAGACUACACACAACGUUCUUGGUACUCGUAUACAUAUGCGUGGCAAACCUUCUUGCCUACGAAGUGACAAGCACAAUGCAAUUUGCUAUAGCACCACGCCGCGCCGUAGGGCUAGCUGUGUGCUAUCCCAUGUUGGCGGUGUUCGUUUUGUUUAGUGCGUAUUUAAGCGACAUGUGCUGGCCGGCGCACUCAGUUGCUGUCAGAUUUUUAAGAGAAGCGGUUGCGUGUGGAGCACCUUCGAUACAGGUGUCUAUAAAGCUUGUUUUGGUGCUAUUGAAAUUCUACAAGAA